rnacentral:lncRNA from 1 species
CCUCCUCCCUUCUCUCCCUGCCAAGCACAACCACACAGACCCACACACCAACCCAGGCACGCACACCACCACGUCCCACACAGCACACAUCGCACAGAUGCACACACCAGCACAGCCACACACACACCAUCACAUACCACACACUGCAUGAGCCCACAUGUCAACAAAGUCACACACAGCACCACGUCCCACACAACACAUCACACACACCAACAAAGCAACGCAUACCACUGCUGCCACACACAACCCACAUCACACAGAUGCAUGUGUCAGUAAAGUCACACACCAACACUGUCACAGUCACACACACACACAUCAGCAUAGUCACAGAUGCACAGAAACAGACACACAGUUUUACACAAAUACACACAUGACACAUCAAUUCAAUCUCACACAGAAACAAAGACACAAAAUCACAAAUCCUAGACACACUGUGUAAACACAUAAUCACACACUGAGGCUCACAAUCAAAUACAGAAACCCAGAUUCCCAAGCACACAAUCGCACACUGAGACAACAGCACACAGAAACAGACACACAGUCACACAACCAAGCACCACCGACCCUCGAGCGCAUACAUAUGCACUUGGUCACGCAUGGAGCCGUAGAGAUACACACACCAGCACCAACCCAGACAGCCAACGCACACGGCCACACACACACCCAUUCACAGACACAGUCACAAUCACACACACACACCAAGAUCACGGACCCAAACAUACGACCGACAGCGGCCCCUGCAGAGGUACACACAGACACACCCAGACACACUGGGUAGGGGUGGGCACUCAGAGAUGACCCCAACCCAAGGCCCCUGCCACUCCUGCUCCCACCAUCCCCAUCUGUCUGCCUGUCCCUCCAUCUGUGAACUUCCCAAGCAUGUCUCUGCAUGGGUGUGUGUGUGUGUGUGCACAUAUGUGACACGUGCCCUUGUCUCAGACCUGCUUCUGUGACUGCCUCUCGAGACACAGGUCUCUCGGUCUCUCUCAGCCCCUUCGGGUGUCGGCGCAUCUUUCUGUCUGUCUCUGUCACUGAGGGUCUCUGUCUGUCUCUGUCAGAGAGGGUCUUUUCUGCUCAUCUUGGCCUGCCUGUCUUUCUAAAUAUCUCCAUCUCUGAGUGUCUCUGUUUCCCCCAUCUCUCUCUCUGGGUGCAUCUCUCUGUCUCUCUCUGUCUCUGUCCCUCUCUGUCUCUGAGCUCUCUGUCAUCUCUCUCUGCCUCUGUCUCCUAACGCCCCAUCACCACGCCCCCCUGGGCUGGGGUUUAACCAGUUGUUUUGAUUUCUCUAAGCUGCGCCGGCCGCCUCGGGAGCCGCCUCGGGCCUCGCACCCCCACCACCAGCCCCUUCAUCCCUCACCCAG